rnacentral:rRNA from 1 species
AUGCGGCGGGUGGCGCCGCCCGCGUCGGAGGACGACAGCUCGGGGUCCGGCGUGCCCGGCUGGCUGGAGGCGCUCCUGGGAACCCGUUUCUUCCUGGCCUGCGCGGCGCACCCGGGCUCCCCGCGCAACGAGUGCAACAUGUUCUGCAUCGACUGCCGCGCCACGCCCGCCGCAUUCUGCUACUACUGCCGCUCCCACCGCCACACGUCGCACCGGGUCAUCCAGAUACGGCGGUCGUCCUACCACGACGUGGUGCGCGUCACGGAGGUGGAGGACGUCCUCGACAUCGCCGGCGUCCAGACCUACGUCAUCAACAGCGCCAGGGUCCUCUUCCUCAACGAGCGGCCCCAGCCGCGCGGCGCCGGCGCCGCCGCGGGGAAGGCCGCCGCGUCUCCCUACAACUGCGAGAUCUGCGGCCGCGCGCUGCUCGACCCCUUCCGCUUCUGUUCCCUCGGAUGCAAGGUACACCUACCCUUCUUUUCUGCUCUGCCCGCUCAAGAUAAAUUGCAUGAUUUCCCUUCUUUCAAUCAUUCUUUUCUUUUCGGCACAAUGCCAAUGCCGUUCGUCCGAUUGGUUCGUUCACGUUUAAUCCGUUUCUCCUCCGUGACACGCUCACGCAUGCAGUUGGUGGACACCAAGACGCAUGGGCACGGGCACGGGCACGGGGCGACCGUCGUCGGCAAUGUCGACGGCGGCGGCGGCAGCGGCAGCGAGGCCGAGGCCGGCGGCAGCAAGAACGGCGCGCGGCCCCAGGGUCGGCGGCGGAAGGGGACACCCCACCGGGCGCCGUUCGGUUCGUGA